rnacentral:lncRNA from 1 species
CGCCCCACCACACUCCUCGGACCUCCAGUCCCCACCCCUCAAGCCACACAGGCUCCGUGGCUUGCAGUUCACAAGGUCUGAGGAGUUCUGUCAGAGCAGUGGAUGGGAAGUCACACACAUCCAAAGCCUGAAGUGGUUGCACUUUAUAUGCUGUGCAAUUCCUUUCCUCUGCUUACUUUGUGAACCUUGACUCUCACCAAUCUGCAUGCCUCUGGCAGCAAAUGCCCACAGGACUUCAGGGUCAGGAAUCUUAGGAUUUCAGGGGAGG